rnacentral:rRNA from 1 species
UACGGAGGGGGCUAGCGUUGUUCGGAAUUACUGGGCGUAAAGCGCACGUAGGCGGAUUGUUAAGUCAGGGGUGAAAUCCCGGAGCUCAACUCCGGAACUGCCUUUGAUACUGGCAAUCUAGAGUCCGGAAGAGGUGAGUGGAACUCCUAGUGUAGAGGUGGAAUUCGUAGAUAUUAGGAAGAACACCAGUGGCGAAGGCGGCCAGCUGGGCCAGAUCCGACACUGAGGCGCGAAAGCGUGGGGAGCAAACAGG